rnacentral:rRNA from 1 species
AUGGCAGAGGAGGGGCUUGUGCACGGGAGGGAGCAGCAAGGCGGCACUGGAGGGAGGAGGCGCUGGACUUGGGCUCCGGUGGGAGGGAGGAGGAGGCACAAGAGCGCGGCGGACGAGCGGGAGGUUCGCGGGGUCUCGGGCGCGGCAUGCAGAGGAGGUAGCGGCGCGGAGGAUGUAGGAGGGAAGGACGAGGCGUGA